AGCGAACGCUGGCGGCAGGCCUAACACAUGCAAGUCGAACGAACUCUUCGGAGUUAGUGGCGGACGGGUGAGUAACACGUGGGAACGUGCCUUUAGGUUCGGAAUAACUCAGGGAAACUUGUGCUAAUACCGAAUGUGCCCUUCGGGGGAAAGAUUUAUCGCCUUUAGAGCGGCCCGCGUCUGAUUAGCUAGUUGGUGAGGUAAAGGCUCACCAAGGCGACGAUCAGUAGCUGGUCUGAGAGGAUGAUCAGCCACAUUGGGACUGAGACACGGCCCAAACUCCUACGGGAGGCAGCAGUGGGGAAUCUCGCGCAAUGGGCGAAAGCCUGACGCAGCCAUGCCGCGUGAAUGAUGAAGGUCUUAGGAUUGUAAAAUUCUUUCACCGGGGACGAUAAUGACGGUACCCGGAGAAGAAGCCCCGGCGAACUUCGU
rnacentral:rRNA from 1 species